rnacentral:rRNA from 1 species
CCUACGGGAGGCAGCAGUGGGGAAUAUUGGACAAUGGGCGCAAGCCUGACCCAGCCAUACCGCGUGUGUGAAGAAGGCCUUCGGGUUGUAAAGCACUUUAAGCAGGGAGAAAAAGUUAUAAGUUAAUACCUUAUAACCCUGAUGUUACCUGCAGAAUAAGCACCGGCUAAUUCCGUGCCAGCAGCCGCGGUAAUACGGAAGGUGCAAGCGUUAAUCGGAAUUACUGGGCGUAAAGCGCGCGUAGGUGGUUUGUUAAGUUGGAUGUGAAAGCCCUGGGCUCAACCUAGGAACUGCAUCCAAAACUAACUCACUAGAGUACGAUAGAGGGAGGUAGAAUUCAUAGUGUAGCGGUGGAAUGCGUAGAUAUUAUGAAGAAUACCAGUGGCGAAGGCGGCCUCCUGGAUCUGUACUGACACUGAGGUGCGAAAGCGUGGGUAGCGAACAGGAUUAGAUACCCUGGUAGUCCACGCCGUAAACGAUGACAACUAGCUGUUGGAAGACAACGUCUUUCAGUGGCGCAGCUAACGUUUUAAGUUGUCCGCCUGGGGAGUACGGUCGCAAGACUAAAACUCAAAUGAAUUGACGG